AACGGCGAGUGAAGAGGAAAGAGCUCAAAGUUGGAACCUGUUUGGCUUAGCUAAACCGGAUUGUAAACUGUAGAAACGUUUUCCUGAUACGCCAGACAAAUAAGUCCUUUGGAACAGGGCAUCAUAGAGGGUGAGAAUCCCGUCUUUGGUCUGAGCUGUUGUCUUUUGUGAUACGUUUUCAAAGAGUCAGGUUGUUUGGGAAUGCAGCCUAAAUUGGGUGGUAAAUCUCACCUAAAGCUAAAUAUUUGCGAGAGACCGAUAGCGAACAAGUACCSUGAGGGAAAGAUGAAAAGAACUUUGAAAAGAGAGUUAAACAGUAUGUGAAAUUGUUAAAAGGGAACCGUUUGGAGCCAGACUGGCUUGAUCGUAAUCAAUCUAGGCUUCGGCCUGGAUGCACUUGCGGUCUAUGCCUGCCAACGACAGUUCUUUCUGAAGGACAAAACUAGGAGGAAUGUGGCCCCUCGGGGUGUUAUAGCCUUUUAGAUAAUACUUUGGAUGGGACUGAGGAACGCAGUGAAUGCUUAUGGCGAGAUUGCUAGGCGCUUUCGUUAAUAGAUGUUAGAAUUUCUGCCUUGGGUGGUGCUGAUGUCUAAAGAUGAAACCCGCUUGGUUAAUUUUCUAUUCACUUAGGUCGUUGGCUUAAUGACUCUAAAUGACCCGUCUUGAAACACGGACCAAGGAGUCCACCAUUAGUGCGAGUAUUUGGGUGCCAAACCCAUAUGCGUAAGGAAACUGAUUGAUACGAAACCGCAAGGUGGCAGUAUCACCCGGCGUUGACGUUUUAUACUGAACUGACCGAGGUAAAGCACUAAUGAUGGGACCCGAAAGAUGGUGAACUAUGCCUGAAUAGGGUGAAGCCGGAGGAAACUCCGGUGGAGGCUCGUAGCGAUUCUGACGUGCAAAUCGAUCGUCAAAUUUGGGUAUAGGGGCGAAAGACUAAUCGAACCAUCUAGUAGCUGGUUCCUGCCGAAGUUUCCCUCAGGAUAGCAGAAACUUAUACGCAGUUUUAUGAGGUAAAGCGAAUGAUUAGAGGCCUUGGGGACGAAAUGUCCUUAACCUAUUCUCAAACUUUAAAUAUGUAAGACGACCUGUUUGCUUAAUUGAAGCAGGUCAUUGAAUGCAGAGUUUCUAGUGGGCCAUUUUUGGUAAGCAGAACWGGCGAUGCGGGAUGAACCGAACGGGAAGUUAAGGUGCCGGAAUACACGCUCAUCAGACACCACAAAAGGUGUUAGUUCAUCUAGACAGCAGGACGGUGGCCAUGGAAGUCGGAAUCCGCUAAGGAGUGUGUAACAACUCACCUGCCGAAUGAACUAGCCCUGAAAAUGGAUGGCGCUUAAGCGUGUUACCCAUACUUCCCCGUUAUUGUAAAAGCGAAGCAAUAACGAGUAGGCAGGCGUGGAGG
rnacentral:rRNA from 1 species